UGUAAAGGGACACCUUUACAUGGUUUUUCCUUCGAGGCCCGAGGCAACCGAUUGGCUGAUGAGGAGGUUAGAAGGACAGGGGAAAGGGAACUGAGGCAAGCGGAGACAAUAAUGGUGUUGAUUCCCACCUUAUCCCCUAGUCUCCCUUCUCCAUCCUUUACUCCUGAGGAGCAACAGAAAGCUACCCAGCUGGGUGCCCAAAGAAGGGAAGAUGGUCAUUGGUUUCUCCCGGAUGGUCGAGAGGUACUAACCAAAGCAGACCCCUCCCCUCAGAUUUCCGAUUCAUAAGUACCAACCCGGAGAUUGGGUCCUGAUAAAGACUUGGAAAGAGGAGAAGCUGACGCCCAACUGGGAGGGACCCUUCCAGAUCCUCCUGACAUCUGACACCGCCGUCCGGACUCAAGAGCGGGAGUGGACCCAUCACACUCGCACCAGGGGACCUGUGGACGUUCCAGAGUCCUGGACCGCAGUUCCAGAUCUGGACAACGAACUAAGACUGCACCUCAGGAGAACGUAAGAUCUCCCCGAUGGACAAUUCCUCACCUCUGCUUAGGAGGUGAAGGAUCUUUGAUAUUUCUCUCUCGAUCAUAAUACCACAGUCACUCUUUUGUUUUGUAAGUAAUGUAAUUGUGUGUGUUGCUAGAGGCCUCCACCUCCAAUUCAUCCAUCCCUGGCUGCACUAAUGGUGUCACUCCUUGGGGUCGACCGAGGCGACCUAGGGGGUCUUAAGAUGGGCCUGCUGGGAGGAUCGAAAGGACCAACUCCAAUAUUGGGGAUGCCCCUGUUGACCUCCAGCGCUUGCUCAGCCUUGCCCAUCAAUCCCUUUCCCAUUGGAGAAAACCGGUUCCAGUAAUUAAUCCAGACGAUUGCUGUAACAUUUAAUCUAACUAAAUGCUGGAUCUGUGGUGGGCCACAAGACUCAACCCAAUGGCCUUGGGUAUCCGUUCCCCUCAGCCCCGCUUGGAUCCUGAGUAAUCGGUCACAAACACAUAAUGGGACAGGGUUCUGGAAAGCAGAGGAGGAACACGAAUGGGCAGCCCCAGAAAGUAAAUAUUGUCUAAAUUAGACUGGAAUAGGGAGAGGGAUGGGCAUUAGCCGCUGUGAAAGACAGCAUACACCCAUCUUCCUCUAAAUUGGACUGGGGUUUGUUAUUUAGGAUUAAUUCGGCCCAAAUUCUCCUUCCUACCAGAACAAGCUGGAAAACAUCUGGCCAUUCCAUUAUAUGAAGAAAUGGGGAGGCUGACAAGGAGUAUAGACACCUCCCUUACCCAAGCUGGAAAUGCCAAUGGGCGGGGAAAGGAGUGGCCCCCUGAAAGAAUAUGGGCCUGCGACCUGGGCUCAAGGUGGAAGUUGGAGAUAUAGAACUUCCAUCUACAUGCUGAACAGGUUAAUUAGGCUACAAGCCAUUGUGGAAGUCAUCACCAACCAAACUGCUAAGGCAUUGGACCUGUUAGCAGACCAAGCGACUCAGACACCGGAAGCAGAAAUACAACAUAGAUUAGUGGAAGUAGGAGGAGUCUGUGGGAAACUCAACCUUACCAACUGUUGCAUGAAAAUCGACGAUAAUGGAAGACUAGUCAAAGAGAUAACACAAGACAUCAGGAAGCUAGCUUACGUCCCUGUUCAAACAUGGAGCUCCCCCUAUAAUAGUUCAUGGUGGGCAUGGUUCGGAGGUAGUUGGUGGAAGUAGGUUCUAUGGUUUGUCCUGAUUGCUCUCAGUGGAAUUACCCUCCUACCCAUUUGCUGAUUACAGGGAUCCUACAAAGUUCCUUAUCCAAAAUAGUCAAGGCAGAAGGAAAUGUUCAAAUGAUGAUCAUGAAAAGUCAGGGAUGGCUCCCAAUAGAAGGGGUUGACUCUGACAGGGAUGAUGUCGACGUCCAGUGCUCAGUGGCUUUGAGAAAAUUUGAACACAAGUAACUUGUGAGGAACCCUCAAGGAUUUCCAAAUAUAAGAGGAGGGAUUGAGUGGGAUAAAAUGGCUGACCAUAGUGUUGAGGUAUCCUCAGUUAGCUGAAAAUGGUGAAAUACUAGUCUAAGGUUACAUCCCCCCCCCCCCCCCCUCCCCGAGACCACCUGACCAUUGUAAACACAAACUAGGCAAAAAUUCCCUAAUAAGGAAAGGAAUUCCACCCAACCAAUGAAAACAAAAACCAACAGGAGAUGGGGGUGUUCUUUGUCUUUUCUCUAUUUAACUAGCUGCUCUGCUUCUGUAAAACGGGCACUCCUUGUUCCGAUUCGUUGGAGCCAGGACUGUACCCGGUUCUUGCAAGAACCGUAAUAAAACUCUUUUGAUUG